rnacentral:rRNA from 1 species
AGAGUUUGAUCCUGGCUCAGGACGAACGCUGGCGGCGUGCCUAAUACAUGCAAGUAGAACGCUGAAGGAGGAGCUUGCUUCUCUGGAUGAGUUGCGAACGGGUGAGUAACGCGCAGGUAACCUGCCUGGUAGCGGGGGAUAACUAUUGGAAACGAUAGCUAAUACCGCAUAAUAGUAGAUGUUGCAUGACAUUUGCUUAAAAGGUGCAAUUGCAUCACUACCAGAUGGACCUGCGUUGUAUUAGCUAGUUGGUGGGGUAACGGCUCACCAAGGCGACGAUACAUAGCCGACCUGAGAGGGUGAUCGGCCACACUGGGACUGACACACGGCCCAAACUCCUACGGGAGGCAGCAGUAGGGAAUCUUCGGCAAUGGACGGAAGUCUGACCGAGCAACGCCGCGUGAGUGAAGAAGGUUUUCGGAUCGUAAAGCUCUGUUGUAAGAGAAGAACGAGUGUGAGAGUGGAAAGUUCACACUGUGACGGUAUCUUACCAGAAAGGGACGGCUAACUACGUGCCAGCAGCCGCGGUAAUACGUAGGUCCCGAGCGUUGUCCGGAUUUAUUGGGCGUAAAGCGAGCGCAGGCGGUUAGAUAAGUCUGAAGUUAAAGGCUGUGGCUUAACCAUAGUACGCUUUGGAAACUGUUUAACUUGAGUGCAAGAGGGGAGAGUGGAAUUCCAUGUGUAGCGGUGAAAUGCGUAGAUAUAUGGAGGAACACCGGUGGCGAAAGCGGCUCUCUGGCUUGUAACUGACGCUGAGGCUCGAAAGUGUGGGGAGCAAACAGGAUUACUUACCCUGGUAGUCCACGCCGUAAACG